UACAGAGGUCCCAAGCGUUGUUCGGAUUCAUUGGGCGUAAAGGGUGCGUAGGCGGCGCGGUAAGUCGGGUGUGAAAUCUCGGAGCUUAACUUCGAAACUGCAUUCGAUACUGCCGUGCUUGAGGACUGGAGAGGAGACUGGAAUUUACGGUGUAGCGGUGAAAUGCGUAGAUAUCGUAAGGAAGACCGGUGGCGAAGGCGGGUCUCUGGACAGUUCCUGACGCUGAGGCACGAAGGCCAGGGGAGCAAACGGG
rnacentral:rRNA from 1 species